rnacentral:lncRNA from 1 species
AAAAUGUACAGCAUUGAAGAGGCUUUCAGGGUAGGGCGUAGCUGCAUUACCUGAGUGUUCCCUAGGCUUGGGGAUUCAGCAACAUUACCUUGGCUGCUGUCACACUGGGAAAACCUGUUGUGCUAGCUCUAAGGAACAGUAUGGAAUGUAGAGUGGAGUGGAGACACCAUGGCUAGGCUCUGUGACCAGGUGGGGACUCUAUUGUUCUUGUGCACACCAAGACCAAUAAGCUGCACUUUUUGCUACCCUGAGCCAAGGAUCUGUCAUGUUUUGACAAAUGCUGUACCCUGGUGUACUUUUUCUCAUUAUAAUAUCAUUAUAAUACCAAAACACAUUUCCAUCCCAGAAGCUACCUGCCUCCAAGGUGCGAGCACCCCUCACUGAGCAUGCACUCUGAAUUUCUCAGAGCCUAUUACUUUAAACGGAGACGGGAGAACUUUUCACCAAUCAUAACUAAGAUAUGCUUGACUAGAGUCACUCAAGCUCCACCUACAAGAUAGAAAAUGAUAUAAAUUGGCCUAAGAGAGAGGGAAUGUUAGGGAAGAUACCACUGUCAGGGGAGAUACCAUCCCGAGGGAAUAUAACAUCCUUAGGACCUCCUGAUUCCUGGACCAGUCGACGGGCUGAACCUCUCUUCCCCCCCAUUGGGACGUCUUUGGCAAGGUACUCUUUUGUAGCCCUGCUGUUACCAAGGUCCUCACUUACCUCUUUGCUCUGGAGAAUUACAACCCUUCAAACACCGUCUAUAUCUUUAAGACUCUCAGCCUGGCGCUUGACCUCACACUGUGGUGACAGGUCCAAAGUACCAGUCUCCACACUCGAUGCAAAUGCAGUGGUGGAAGACAUCAAGCUGAUGAGAGCUGGAAGGGCUAUGAAAAAUGAAAACAUGACAUUGUCCUGA